GAUGAACGCUGGCGGCGUGCCUAAUACAUGCAAGUCGAACGAAGAGAGAAGCUUGCUUCUCUUUUAGUGGCGAACGGGUGAGUAAUACAUAAGCAACCUACCCAUUCGACCGGGAUAACAGUUGGAAACGACUGCUAAUACCGGAUAGGUGACCGGGGGGACAUCCCUGAUCAUUAAAGCUGGGACACAGCACGAAUGGAUGGGCUUAUGGCGCAUUAGUUAGUUGGCGGGGUAACGGCCCACCAAGACGAUGAUGCGUAGCCGACCUGAGAGGGUGACCGGCCACACUGGGACUGAGACACGGCCCAGACUCCUACGGGAGGCAGCAGUAGGGAAUUUUCGGCAAUGGGCGCAAGCCUGACCGAGCAACGCCGCGUGAGUGAAGAAGGCCUUCGGGUUGUAAAGCUCUGUUGUAAGGGAAGAAUGGCCAAGAGAGGGAAUGCUCUUGGAGUGACGGUACCUUACCAGAAAGCCACGGCUAACUACGUGCCAGCCGCCGCCGUAAUAC
rnacentral:rRNA from 1 species